rnacentral:snoRNA from 1 species
UGUCUCUGACCUGGGUAAAGUGGCAUCUGGUUGGUGGUACUUAUCUCAAAUCACAUAGACAUAAGGCAACCUCUUGUUUAUCCCAGCUUGGCUUUUCUUUUCUUUUCUUUUCUUUUUUUUUUUUUUUUUAGACAGGGUC